rnacentral:hammerhead_ribozyme from 1 species
AUCCAGCUGACGAGUCCUAAAUAGGACGAAAUGCGCUAUCUGGAU